CAAAAACNNGUCUUUCCGCAUNNAGAAGAAGGUCCCCCCCGCCCAGUGAUAAUUUCAGCGGCCGNGGUAUAUUCCCCCGUGCAAAGGUAGCAUAAUCAUUAGUCUUUUAAUAGAGGGCUGGAAUGAAAGGUUUAACGAGGAACCGACUGUCUCAUUUUAUUUGUUUUAAAAUUUAAUUUUUUAGUNAAAAAGCUAAGAUUUUUAUUGGAAGACGAGAAGACCCUAUAGAUCUUCACAUAUUUUUAAUUACAUACUUUUUAUAUUAAUAUUUUUAUUNNGAAAUAUGUUUUGUUGGGGUGACAAAAAUAUAUAAAUAACUUUUUUAUUUACAUAACAUUGAUUUAUGAAUACNAGAUCCAAUUUUAUUGAUUAUUAGAUUAAGUUACCUUAGGGAUAACAGCGUAAUCCUCCUCCAGAGUUCAUAUUUACAGGAUGGGCUUGCGACCUCGAUGUUGGAUUAANAUAAAANNNAGGUGUAGNCCCUAGGGUGAGAGGUCCGUUCGACCUUUAAAUUCAUACGNGAUCUGNG
rnacentral:rRNA from 1 species